rnacentral:rRNA from 1 species
AAUAGAUACCCAGGUAGUCCACGCCGUAAACGGUGGGCACUAGGUGUGGGCGACAUUCCACGUCGUCCGUGCCGCAGCUAACGCAUUAAGUGCCCCGCCUGGGGAGUACGGCCGCAAGGCUAAAACUCAAAGGAAUUGACGGGGGGNCCCGGCACAAGCGGCGGAGCAUGUGGCUUAAUUCGACGCAACGCGAAGAACCUUACCAAGGCUUGACAUACACCGGAAACGUCCAGAGAUGGGCGCCCCCUUGUGGUCGGUGUACAGGUGGUGCAUGGCUGUCGUCAGCUCGUGUCGUGAGAUGUUGGGUUAAGUCCCGCAACGAGCGCAACCCUUGUCCCGUGUUGCCAGCAGGCCCUUGUGGUGCUGGGGACUCACGGGAGACCGCCGGGGUCAACUCGGAGGAAGGUGGGGACGACGUCAAGUCAUCAUGCCCCUUAUGUUUUGGGCUGCACACGUGCUACAAUGGCCGGUACAAUGAGCUGCGAUACCGCGAGGUGGAGCGAAUCUCAAAAGCCGGUCUCAGUUCGGAUUGGGGU